rnacentral:rRNA from 1 species
GUGUCAGCAGCCGCGGUAAGACGAACCGUGCGAACGUUGUUCGGAAUCACUGGGCUUAAAGGGCGCGUAGGCGGCAGAUCAAGUCCGGGGUGAAAGCCCCCAGCUCAACUGGGGAAGUGCCUUGGAUACUGAUUUGCUCGAGGGAGGUAGGGGUCGAGGGAACUUCUGGUGGAGCGGUGAAAUGCGUUGAUAUCAGAAGGAACGCCGGUGGCGAAAGCGCUCGACUGGAUCUCUUCUGACGCUGAGGCGCGAAAGCUAGGGGAGCAAACGGGAUUAGAUACCCCCGUAGUCC